AUUGAACGCUGGCGGCAGGCUUAACACAUGCAAGUCGAGCGGGGUGAUGGUGCUUGCACUAUCACUUAGCGGCGGACGGGUGAGUAAUGCUUAGGAAUCUGCCUAUUAGUGGGGGACAACAUCUCGAAAGGGAUGCUAAUACCGCAUACGUCCUACGGGAGAAAGCAGGGGAUCUUUAUGACCUUGCGCUAAUAGAUGAGCCUAAGUCGGGAUUAGCUAGUUGGUGGGGUAAAGGCCUACCAAGGCGACGAUCUGUAGCGGGUCUGAGAGGAUGAUCGGCCACACUGGGACUGGGACACGGCCCAGAUUCCUACGGGAGGCAGCAGAGGGGAAUAUUGGACAAUGGGGGGAACCCUGAUCCAGCCAUGCCGCGUGUGUGAAGAAGGCCUUAUGGUUGUAAAGCACUUUAAGCGAGGAGGAGGCUCUUUUGGUUAAUACCCAGAAUGAGUGGACGUUACUCGCAGAAUAAGCACCGGCUAACUCUGUGCCAGCCGCCGCAGUAAAAC
rnacentral:rRNA from 1 species